rnacentral:rRNA from 1 species
UACGUAGGGGGCAAGCGUUGUCCGGAAUCAUUGGGCGUAAAGAGCGUGUAGGCGGUCCGUUAAGUCGGCUGUGAAAGUCCAAGGCUCAACCUUGGGAUGCCGGUGGAUACUGUCGGGCUCGAGUCCGGAAGAGGAGUGUGGAAUUCCUGGUGUAGCGGUGAAAUGCGCAGAUAUCAGGAGGAACACCAAUGGCGAAGGCAGCACUCUGGGACGUGACUGACGCUGAGACGCGAAAGCGUGGGGAGCAAACAGG